GAUGAACGCUAGCGAUAGGCUUAACACAUGCAAGUCGAGGGACCGGCGCACGGGUGCGUAACGCGUAUGCAACUUGCCUCACAGAGGGGGAUAACCCGUCGAAAGACGGACUCAUACCGCGUACUGUGAGAUCGGCCUGCGUCCCAUUGGCUAGUUGGUGAGGUAACGGCUCACCAAGGCAACGAUGGGUAGGGGAACUGAGAGGUGGAACCCCCAGACUGGUACUGAGACACAGACCAGACUCCGACGGGGGGCAGCAGUGAGGAAGAUUGGUCAAUGGGCGAGAGCCUGAACCAGCCAAGUCGCGGGAAGGAUGACUGUGUAGGGAUUGUAAACUUCUUUUGUAGAGGAAGAGGUACCCUACGAAUAAGCAACGGCUAACUCCGUGCCAGCAGCCGCGGUAAUUC
rnacentral:rRNA from 1 species